CGNAGNGCGAUAGGGGAUCCCAAGUGCGAGGGCAUAUUAGCCCUCGCUUUUCUCGACUCUAAGGUGGUCGACGAAUAAGAGCUGGGCAAGACCGGGGCCAGCCGCCGCGGUAAUACCGGCAGCUCAAGUGAUGUCCCAUAUUAUUGGGCCUAAAGCGUCCGUAGCUGGCCGACCAAGUCUAUCGGGAAAUCCACCGGCCCAACGGGUGGGCGUCCGGUAAAAACUGGCCGGCUUGGAACCGGAAGGCUCAGAGAGUACGUCCGGGGUAGGAGUGAAAUCCCGUAAUCCCGGACGGACUACCGAUGGCGAAAGCACUCUGAGAAAACGGAUUCAACAGUGAGGGACGAAAGCUCGGGUCUCAAACCGGAUUAGAUACCCGGGUAGUCCGAGCCGUAAACAAUGCUCGUUAGGUGUGACACCCACUACGAGUGGGUGUUGCGCCGCAGGAAAGCCGCUAAACGAGCCGCCUGGAAAGUACGUCCGCAAGGAUGAAACUUAAAGGAAUGGGGGGGGAAAAAAAAAAA
rnacentral:rRNA from 1 species